UUUUCUUUCUUUUCUCAGUCUCUGUUCUUACACCAUUCCGAAUCUCACACUGUAAAUACCUCUCUUCAUUCACUUUCUCCGUUACUUCAAGUCACUACUUUUCUUUAAAAUCAACACCCAGAUAGAAAACAGAAGACAAACUCUCAACUGUUCCUAUUUGCUUUGUUCAUUCAUACAUGACCAUAUUUUGUUUUUCUUGAUUGAAUGAAUCCCUGGUGAAAUUCAUGUGAAACUUUGGGAAAAAGGGAUCUGAGAAAGUGAAAGAAGUGCGAAAGAUAGAGUUUUUAUGAUGGAAGCGGGUGACUUGCCUGUACAACAAGUUAGUUGCCGCUGAAAGUCAGGUGAAUGUAGUGUUCUUUAUAGUUUAUACCCCUCCUUUUCAGUUACUUGCCCGUACAUCCACCUUUCUAUGUUUAGAACCUUGUUUUGACUAUGUUUUCACUAACCCUUUUAGUGUACAAGCUUAAAAAGAGAGAAAGAAGGAGACUUUCUUUUUUUUUUUUUUUUUCACAUAGUUGAUGGGAGGAUUUUAGAAUUGCUAUUUUU
rnacentral:lncRNA from 1 species